AAACUACUCCCUCCGUCCCAUAUUAAGGGAUGCAUCUUUGUCUAGAUAUGCAUAUAUCUAGACAUGUUCUAUUGUGUAGGUACAUGCGUAUCUAGACAAAGUUGCGACACAUAAUAUGGGACGGAGGGAGUACUAA
rfam:Brachypodium distachyon strain Bd21 chromosome 2, whole genome shotgun sequence.